UGUAAGUAGUGAACCACCUGUUACUGUUACACUGUAAAUAGUGAACCACCUGUUGCUGCUACACUGUAAGUAGUGUACCACUUGGGCUGAGCUAACUACAGUAUAUAAAACAACGGGGCGGACACAACAGAUAUGAGGUUAAUGGGACUGUGAUAACAGGACAACAGGAGAGAGAUAACAGAGACACUGUUGCAGGAUCAGAAGCGUGGUGGAGGCCGGGCUGUACCCUUACUGGCUGGACAAGAGUCUACCCGCCUACCAUAACUGUCGUCACUCGCCUUCCAAAAUUACCGUCCGGGAGCCUCUCGCCCUCGACAGCUUCUGGGGGAUGUUGGUGGUCCUGAUAGCUGGACACUUGGUGGCGCUGUUGGUGUUUUGCUUGGAACUCAAAGCCGGCAGCAACUGAUACAUCUUCCUCCUCCACACCUGACACACAUCUCACGCAAGAAAGUUCUCAAGAGUCAACACGAUGGUCGAUGUCUUCAGCACAAGUUUUGUCUCGGGAAAUGUGAUCAACAGAGAGUCAACGUAGGGGAGGUGAAAGGUGUGCGGCUGAUACCUGAAGUUGUUAAUAUGGUGAAGAUAACAGAGUCGAGGACAAGGACAAAGAUGUGUAAGAGUAAACCAACAUUUACUGAGUACUUUCAUGGAGUGUUAGAGAUCUUAGGACGACAACACUGUAUAAUAAUUCUCUCGUAAGAUGAACAGCCAUGUAGACAACAAAAGCUUUAUUAAACACACGAAGAGAAAAAUGUUUUAUUAGUGGUAUAAUAUUAGUGUAGGUACGUGUUCAGUCUGCUACCCUUCGUGCACACAAAAUUGUUGUACAUAUUUCAGGUUUCUUGUUUUUUUCGUCAAAUUUCUGUUACUAUGAUGUGAUGCCAUUAGACGUUUUACCGUUAAUGAUUUGGAGGAAGCUAAAGGCCAUUUGAGAUUAUAAAAUAUUUUACAGACUUUAAAUUAUCUUGUGGUAACGUUCAUGUUGCCAAUGAGUAAUUUUAUCCAAACUUGUUUUAAAAUAUUUGGGAAAUAACGAUCAAUGUUUUGAUAAAAUUAUCAGGAAUAAAUGUGAUGACUGGAGUCGUCUGACUGAUCGUGUCAUCUCCAUAUAAUUAGUGAUGAAAACCUGAAAGUAGUUUAGGAUAGGAGAAUACCAUUAUAAAGUAUAGGUUUAUUUACACCAUCUAUUCUUUGUAAUUUUCUCUUUGGAAUACAACAAAGACGAAAGGCUUCAUAAAAUAGAUCGGAACUAUUAUAGAUAAUGUAUCAGGUAGUUAAAACAUGCGUUAUAUUUCUGGGUGUGAAUAAAAUGACAAUGGAGACACGCUCAGUCUGUUGAUAAA